rnacentral:rRNA from 1 species
GGUGAACGCUGGCGGUAGGCCUAACACAUGCAAGUCGAACGGCAGCACAGUAAGAGCUUGCUCUUACGGGUGGCGAGUGGCGGACGGGUGAGGAAUACAUCGGAAUCUACUUUUUCGUGGGGGAUAACGUAGGGAAACUUACGCUAAUACCGCAUACGACCUACGGGUGAAAGCAGGAGAUCUUCGGACCUUGCCCGAUUGAAUGAGCCGAUGUCGGAUUAGCUAGUUGGCUGGGUAAAGGCCCACCAAGGCGACGAUCCGUAGCUGGUCUGAGAGGAUGAUCAGCCACACUGGAACUGAGACACGGUCCAGACUCCUACGGGAGGCAGCAGUGGGGAAUAUUGGACAAUGGGCGCAAGCCUGAUCCAGCCAUACCGCGUGGGUGAAGAAGGCCUUCGGGUUGUAAAGCCCUUUUGUUGGGAAAGAAAAGCAGCAGGUUAAUACCCCGCUGUUCUGACGGUACCCAAAGAAUAAGCACCGGCUAACUUCGUG